rnacentral:rRNA from 1 species
GACGAACGCUGGCGGCGUGCCUAACACAUGCAAGUCGAACGAACGGACGAGAAGUUUGCUUCCCUGAUGUUAGCGGCGGACGGGUGAGUAACAUGUGGACAACCUACCUAUACGACUGGGAUAACUUCGGGAAACCGUAGCUACUACCGGAUAAUAUUUUGAACCGCAUGGUUCAAAAGUGAAAGUCGGUCUUUCUUUCACUUAUAGACUGAUCCGCGCUGCAUUAGCUAGUUGGUAAGGAAGCGGCUUACCAAGGCAACGAUGGAUAGCCGACCUGAGAGGGUGAUCGGCCACACUGGAAGUGAGACACGGCCCAGACACCGACGGUAGGCAGCAGUAGGGAAUCUUCCGCGAUGGGCGAAAGCCUGACGGAGCAACGCCGCGUGAGUGAUGAAGGUCUUCGGAUCGUAGAACGCUGUUAUUAGGGAAGAACAUAUGUGUAAGUAACUGUGCACAUCUUGACGGUACCUAGACAAAAAGCCACGGCUAACUACGUG